UGCCCAGCAACUCCUAUCCCUACCUCCUCGUGGUACCGACCGGAAACUAUGAGCAACCUUAGGGAAGAUCGGGUAACCAACCCCGGUGGGAGCUUUGGUCGUAGGCUGACAGGGAAGG
rnacentral:ribozyme from 1 species